rnacentral:antisense_RNA from 1 species
ACCGGACUAGAGUGGAUCCCCAUAAAAUGAGUGAAGCCAUAUUAUGAGUUAGAGACUACUGAAAAAGCCUCUCCUGAUGAUGAAGGACCUGUCAUUGGAGAAUCGACCAAAACUGACAGUGAUAACUUGGAAGGCACCUGACAUUACCUGGGGACAGCUAAAGAAACUGGACCAACAGGGAACUAUCUGGGAGCCCCUGCAACUGCAGAGAACCAGUUUCUUAUGUAUCUGAUGGUAAUUGGGGGAGCUUCUGAGAAG